GACGAACGCUGGCGGCGUGCUUAACACAUGCAAGUCGAGCGGUAAGGCCCUUUCGGGGGUACACGAGCGGCGAACGGGUGAGUAACACGUGGGUGACCUGCCCUCAGCUCUGGGAUAAGCCUGGGAAACCGGGCCUAAUACUGGAUAUGACUCCAUGACGCAUGUUGUGGGGUGGAAGGCCUUGUGCGGCUGAGGAUGGGCCCGCGGCCUAUCAGCUUGUUGGUGGGGUGAGGCCUACCAAGGCGACGACGGGUAGCCGGCCUGAGAGGGCGACCGGCCACACUGGGACUGAGACACGGCCCAGACUCCUACGGGAGGCAGCAGUGGGGAAUCUUGCGCAAUGGGCGAAAGCCUGACGCAGCGACGCCGCGUGAGGGAUGACGGCCU
rnacentral:rRNA from 1 species